rnacentral:rRNA from 1 species
CCUACGGGAGGCUGCAGUGGGGAAUAUUGCACAAUGGGGGAAACCCUGAUGCAGCGACGCCGCGUGAGUGAAGAAGUAAUUCGUUACGUAAAGCUCUAUCAGCAGGGAAGAAACACUGACCUUACGGUCAGCAGACGGUACCUGAGUAAGAAGCCCCGGCUAACUACGUCCCAGCAGCCGCGGUAAUACGUAGGGGGCAAGCGUUAUCCGCAUUUACUGGGGGGAAAGGGAGCGUAGACGGUGUGCCACGUCUGGAGUGAAAGGCAGGAGCUUAACCGCGGAACUGCUUUGGAAGCUGGCGAACUAGAGUGGGGGAGGGGUAAGCGGAAGUGCUGGUGUAGCGGUGAAAUGCGUAGAUAUUAGGAGGAACACCGGUGGCGAGGGCGGCUUACUGGACCGAAACGGACGUUGAGGCUCGAAAGCGUGGGGAGCAAACAGGAUUAGAUACCCAGUAGUC